rnacentral:rRNA from 1 species
UACAGGGGUGCGAGCGUUAAUCGGAAUUACUGGGCGUAAAGCGUGCGUAGGUGGUUUCUUAAGCUGGAUGUGAAAGCCCCGGGCGUUAACCUACGGGAACGUGCAUUCUAGGACGUGGGAAACGUACGAGUCUGGGAGAGGGUGGUGGAAUUUCCGGUGUAGCGGUGAAAUGCGUAGAUAUCGGAAGGAACAUCAGUGGCGAAGGCGACCGCCUGGCCUAAGACUGACACUGAGGCACG